GGAUCAUUACAGAGUUCAUGCCCUAACGGGUAGAUCUCCCACCCUGUGUUAUUAUUACCAUGUUGCUUUGGCGGGACGCGGAGGUUCGCCUCUCCACCGGCUCCGGCUGGUGUGUGCCCGCCAGAGGACCCAAAACCCUGAAUGUUAGUGUCGUCUGAGUACUAUAUAAUAGUUAAAACUUUCAACAACGGAUCUCUUGGUUCUGGCAUCGAUGAAGAACGCAGCGAAAUGCGAUAAGUAAUGUGAAUUGCAGAAUUCAGUGAAUCAUCGAAUCUUUGAACGCACAUUGCGCCCCUUGGUAUUCCGGGGGGCAUGCCUGUUCGAGCGUCAUUACAACCCUCAAGCCUGGCUUGGUAUUGGGCUCUCGCCGUUAACCCGGCGGGCCUUAAAAUCAGUGGCGGUGCCGUCGUGGCCCUGAGCGCAGUAAAUAUCCUCGCUAUAGGGACCCGGCGGUUACCGGCCAGCAACCCCCAACUUUCUAAGUUUGACCUCGGAUCAGGUAGGGAUACCCGCUGAACUUAAGCAUAUCAAUAAGCGGAGGAAAAGAAACCAACAGGGAUUGCCUCAGUAACGGCGAGUGAAGCGGCAACAGCUCAAAUUUGAAAUCUGGCUCUUUCAGGGUCCGAGUUGUAAUUUGUAGAAGAUGCUUUGGGAACGGUUCCGGUCUAAGUUCCUUGGAACAGGACGUCAUAGAGGGUGAGAAUCCCGUAUGCGACCGGUCGCCUGCCCCGUGUAAAGCUCUUUCGACGAGUCGAGUUGUUUGGGAAUGCAGCUCAAAAUGGGUGGUAAAUUUCAUCUAAAGCUAAAUAUUGGCCAGAGACCGAUAGCGCACAAGUAGAGUGAUCGAAAGAUGAAAAGCACUUUGGAAAGAGAGUUAAACAGUACGUGAAAUUGUUGAAAGGGAAGCGCUUGCAACCAGACUUGCACGUAGUUAAUCAUCUGGUGUUCUCACCGGUGCACUUGGCUAUGUUCAGGCCAGCAUCGGUUCAGGUGGUGGGAUAAAGGCCUUGGGAAUGUAGCUUCUUUCGGGGAGUGUUAUAGCCCUCGGUGCAAUGCCGCCUACCUGGACCGAGGACCGCGCUUCGGCUAGGAUGCUGGCGUAAUGGUUGUAAGCGACCCGUCUUGAAACACGGACCAAGGAGUCUAACAUCUAUGCGAGUGUUUGGGUGUCAAACCCAUACGCGUAAUGAAAGUGAACGGAGGUGAGAACCCUUAAGGGUGCAUCAUCGACCGAUCCUGAUGUCUUCGGAUGGAUUUGAGUAAGAGCAUAGCUGUUGGGACCCGAAAGAUGGUGAACUAUGCCUGAAUAGGGUGAAGCCAGAGGAAACUCUGGUGGAGGCUCGCAGCGGUUCUGACGUGCAAAUCGAUCGUCAAAUUUGGGUAUAGGGGCGAAAGACUAAUCGAACCAUCUAGUAGCUGGUUCCUGCCGAAGUUUCCCUCAGGAUAGCAGUGUUGAAUUCAGUUUUAUGAGGUAAAGCGAAUGAUUAGAGGCCUUGGGGUUGAAACAACCUUAACCUAUUCUCAAACUUUAAAUAUGUAAGAAGUCCUUGUUACUUAAUUGAACGUGG
rnacentral:rRNA from 1 species